GCGCAAUUAGCUCAGUGGUAGAGCGUCAGACUUAAUCUGAGGACGUAGGUUCAAAUCCAACAUUGUGCC
rnacentral:tRNA from 1 species